rnacentral:tRNA from 1 species
GGGGCUGUGGCUCAGUGGUAGAGUGCACGCCUAACAUGUGUCAGGCACUAAGUUCAAACCUCAGCACCA